UAAGAAAGUAAGAUCCCUGAGAGAUGAUCAGGUAGAUAGGUCAGGAGUGGAAGUACAGUGAUGUAUGGAGCGGACUGAUACUAAUCGAUCGAGGACUUAACCAA
rnacentral:rRNA from 2 species